GGUAGCUCAGUGGAAGAGCGCCUGGCUCUUAACCGGGUGGCCGCAGGUUCGAGCCCUGCUGCCA
rnacentral:tRNA from 1 species